UACGGGGGGGGCAAGCGUUGUUCGGAAUUACUGGGCGUAAAGGGCGCGUAGGCGGCCUUCUAAGUCGCACGUGAAAUCCCUCGGCUUAACCGGGGAACUGCGUGUGAUACUGGAAGGCUUGAAUCCGGGAGAGGGAUGUGGAAUUCCAGGUGUAGCGGUGAAAUGCGUAGAUAUCUGGAGGAACACCGGUGGCGAAGGCGGCAUCCUGGACCGGCAUUGACGCUGAGGCGCGAAAGCUAGGGGAGCAAACGGG
rnacentral:rRNA from 1 species